GCUUUGUGAAUGCAGCCAUCCACACCUCCUCCUCCAAGGAAACUGGCAUUUGCCACAUUGACUACAGCAUCUACCUCUAGCAAUGCAAUGUCACUUC